rnacentral:lncRNA from 1 species
UGAUCCUGCGGCAGUGGCUCUGAUCAUGGAAAUAUAAAAUCAGUGGUGCAGACUUUUCUCCAUGCAAAGCCAAUUGAUUCCUAUUCAGACAAUCCUUUUUGCCAAAUGCCCAACAAGAAAGGAGCAGUUAUGCAGAACUUGUGGUAGAAGGAGGGAAACUGAGGACCUUAGACAUCUCCGUCUGAUGAGUAACUGCUACCAGUCACAGCUUGGAGAGCUGGACACUUCACCACUCAGGUAUGGAAGGUGAAGGCCAUGUUUUUAUCCUAUUAAUUGCUUGUUUUUUUAAAAGAAUUGCUGUUUUUGGAUAAAUUGAAAUCAAAGUUUCAAUCUCAGGUCAACAGAUGUCUGAAAAUAACAGCAAGAAAGAAAUGAAAAAGAAUCUCCCACAGAGGUAUGUUAUAUCAUUUCCCCGCAAGUCUUUUAACACAGGGUGGAUGAACAGCUCUCUAGCAUUAUGUGAAUGGGAGGCUGCCUAAAGGAAGGGAAAUGGGUUGGAUAAUUUGGGGACUCCCUCAGCUAAUUUAGAAAAUUAUCUGUUUUUUCAAUGGUGUGGGUUCUUGGAAGAAAAUGAAGAGCAUUGGGAAGAAUCCUCAAGAGAUUGCAAGCUUUGAUCAAGUGUGCUCCUAAAGGGAAACAUUAAAGACAGUCUUUAAAACAAACAAAAAACAAAUAAAAAGCCUAUUCUGAAAGUCCAUAUUAAAUUCUUAUUUAUAGAUACUAAUAGAUGGUAGCUCAUGGAGUUAGGGGCAAAGAGAGGUGCUUAGGAAAGGUCUGCUUCUAUCAGAAAAGGUAUGAUUUGAAAUAUUAUAAUUUAAUUUUAACCUAAUGCUCUUUUUGCAAAUAUCUUCCACCACCUUCUCUAAACUCAGAGCUCCCUAGUAUAAACAGUUUUCUGUGCUUGUUAUAGUAGAGUUACCUCAGGUCUCCAGGUCUCACUGGCCCAGGGAGGACAACAAAGCCAUUGCCAAACAAAGGUACAGUAAUGCCCAGAAUGCUCAUUGUAUUAAAUUCCUUCCAUCUGAUUAAGAGGACAUUGGGGAGUCUCCUUUGUCCUCCUGAAAACCAUGAUGCUCUAUGCCCAUGCUGUAUGGAAUGUAUUAUUUUCUCUUUAAUUCCUAAUACGCUGUUCCCUGAUCACUGCAUUGGCAGCCUUGAGCUCUAAGUUUUCUUUCCUAGAGCUUUUAAAAUGUUUAUUUAUUUGACCCAAACUUUACUAGAGAUUCUAAUUCCAGAUUAAGGGCCUUGACUUCAGUAACCAGAUUCAACAGAUAAAAUACUGGAUCCCCCAUUAAAUUUGAAUUUUAGGUAAACAUUGACU